UACGAAGAAGGCUAGCGUUGUUCGGAAUUAUUGGGUUUAAAGGGCACGUAGGCGGACUAUUAAGUUGGGGGUGAAAACCUUGGGCUCAACCUCGGAACCGCCUUUGAUACUGAUAGACUUGAGUGCGACAGAGGGUGUUGGAAUGUGUGGUGUAGCGGUGAAAUUCUUAGAUAUCACGCAGAACACCAAUUGCGAAGGCAGAUGCCUAUGUCGUUACUGACGCUCAGGUACGAAAGCGUGGGGAGCAAACAGG
rnacentral:rRNA from 1 species